GAUGAAGAACGUAGCGAAAUGCGAUACUUGGUGUGAAUUGCAGAAUCCCGUGAACCAUCGAGUCUUUGAACGCAAGUUGCGCCCGAAGCCAUCAGGUUGAGGGCACGUCUGCCUGGGCGUCACAUAUCGUUGCCCAAUGCCUAUUGCAGUGCAAUAGGAAUUUCUAGGGCGAAUGAUGGCUUCCCGUGAGCGUUGUUGCCUCGCGGUUGGUUGAAAAUCGAGUCCUUGGUAGGGUGUGCCAUGGUAGAUGGUGGUCGAGUUAGAACGAUACCGAUCAUGUGCAUGCUCCCCAAAAUAUGGCCUCUAUGACCCACACGCGUCUUUUGACGCUCAUGACGAGACCUCAGGUCAGGCGGGGCUACCCGCUGAAUUUAAGCAUAUCAUAGCGGAGGA
rnacentral:misc_RNA from 1 species